rnacentral:tRNA from 1 species
GGAGUGUAACUCAGUGGUAGAGUGCUUGCCUAGCAUGUAUAAGGCCUUGGGUUCUAUCCCCAGUGCCA